rnacentral:rRNA from 1 species
CCUACGGGAGGCAGCAGUAAGGAAUAUUGGUCAAUGGAGGCAACUCUGAACCAGCCAUGCCGCGUGCAGGAUGACGGCCCUAUGGGUUGUAAACUGCUUUUGUACCAGAGAAAACCUACUCACGUGUGAGUAGCUGAUAGUAUGGUAAGAAUAAGCAUCGGCUAACUUCGUGCCAGCAGCCGCGGUAAGACGAAGGAUGCAAGCGUUAUCCGGAUUCAUUGGGUUUAAAGGGUGCGUAGGCGGACUUGUAAGUCAGUGGUGAAAUCUCUUCGCUUAACGAAGAAACUGCCAUUGAUACUGCAGGUCUAGAGUAUAGAUGACGUUGGCGGAAUAUGACAUGUAGUGGUGAAAUACUUAGAUAUGUCAUAGAACACCGAUUGCGAAGGCAGCUAACGAAACUAUAACUGACGCUGAGGCACGAAAGUGCGGGGGAUCAAACAGGAUUAGAUANCCCUGGUAGUCCGCACCGUAAACGAUGAUUACUCGUUGUUGGCGAUAUGACAGUCAGCGACCAAGCGAAAGACGAUAAGUAAUCCGACCGUGGGAGUACGCCGGCGAACGGUGAAACGUACGAAAGGAAGUUAGACGG